GGGGAUGAUCGGUUUCGACGUGUGUUUACUUCCGGAGGGAAGCGGGCCGAGAACGCAGAGUUAUCUCGUAAACGACCUCUGCAACCUAUAGGUGCCGAUUCCAAGCGCACCGACUUCGCCCUCGCUGCCUAAGCGAGCGCCAUGAAGUCCGUCAGCCCAGGGGCGUUCCCGACCUGGAUCCUGGCGUCGACUAGGGAACUUGCUUCAGCCCUUCGUCAUCGGGGGCUGCGGGACUCUUAGAUGACUGGGCCCGCUCACCACCUGCCUGAUGGUGGGUGAGGGGCCGAGAAAACCUUCUUCAGGCUGCGCCCGGAGAAGACUUCGGUUUGGACAUGCGGACCCGGGUUCGAUUCCCGGCAUCUCCACUU
rnacentral:tmRNA from 2 species